AAAGAAUACAUCUCUAAGCUCGUCCAAAAGGCAAUCAGCCAACAAUCAACAAAAGAAUCCAGUUGGUAUACAACAAGGGAUGGGGAAAGAGCAACAUAUCAACAAUCUUUCAACUAAACAAUGGGUUCAGGCAGCUUUUAAUCAUGAUUGUUCUCCAAAUAACCCUAAUAAUGAGCAACAAUUAGCAAACAACAAAGAAAAAGAAUUUGUAACAGAAGAAGUCUUACAAGAUGGUCAAAUUCCAGUUUUGAUGCAUAGUGAGGAUGAAAUGGGAGGAAAAACUUGGAAAACGAGGAUGAAAGGGCUAAAGGCAUUGAUAAUGCAAAUGAUAUUCAAAUCACAAUGGAAUGCACAAAUUCAGAAACAAAAAAGACAUUAGAGGGAAAUAUCAAUACCAUAGAUCCAGGAGGAAUUUUUCAUAUUGAUGAGAUUAAACUAUUGAGUGAAGCAGAAAAUUCAGAUGCAAAUCAAGAGCAAAGUNNN
rnacentral:lncRNA from 1 species